AGUACAUUAAGAGUUUUUUGGCAGCAAUCCCUAUUAGGGAGUUACAAGAUGAUGUAAAGAAAGGAUUGAUGGCAUUGACACCCCUUCAUCAGUGCCUACAAAUCGAGUUCCACUACAAGAUGAGCUUUGUCCCCAAGUUUGAGGAGUUGUCUUCAGAAGAACUGAUUGCUAAUAGUUUGGCCAAAGCACCAUCGGCAGCAGCAGAAUAAGCAACGAUUGGGUACAAGCAAAGGACCAAAUCAGAAGGUACCCGUACUUUCUGCGGUGACAUUGAAUCUUGCAGACUUUGCUUCAGUAGCAGGAGAUAAACAAGAGUGCAUUGAAAUUUUCGUUCCUUUGGAAGUAUGUGUUGGCAGCUUCAAGAAUUGCCUUUCAGUCUGUAUAUGUUCAUAUAUUUGUUGACAGCUAGUGCUCAACCUUGUGGAAUUGAGGAACGCUCAAGAAGCUUCAGAGACAUUUCUGAAGUUUAUCAUGUCUGCUCCAGUAUCUCCGAACCCUGGAAAGGCUUUGUUGACAGACAGAAAUGGGGGUGGUUCUUUAAAAGCAGGUCUGCGAAAGGUUAAAUUUUGAAAAGCAUUAUCCUUUAGGUGACACAAGAAGGCAUAUCAUGCAGAGGAAGGUAGCAGCAGUGAUAGAAGGAACUCAGUCAGAAGUGAGGAUCCCAAUUAUGUUUAUCCUGUGGAUACCGAUUAACUUGAUUUGGAUUCGGUACGAGAAUCUGAGAAAGAAAAUGAGGCUACAAGUGUUCAGAAGUCAUUCAAUUAUGAAGCACCAGUCUAUGCAAACCAUGCUGGUGGAUCAUUUUGUUCAAAUACAAGCAGCAGCAGCAGUGACGAGGAUUUAGUCCACUACAGCCAUCAUAUUUCAGACACAAAGCACAAGUACCUUGAGGAUAAAACUGCAGCAAAUCAAUCUGCAGAGCAGAGUUCAAAACGUAGUCUUCUUGCCUGGAGGAAGAGAAAGUUGAGUUUCAAAUAUCCUAAAAUCAAGGGGGAGCCAUUGUUGAAGAAACAUUAUGGAGAGGAUGGUGCAGACGAUAUAGAAUUUGAUCGCCGACAGCUUUGCUCAUCUAACGAGUCUUCUU